AUUCAGGUAGUUUAAAAUAAAAUGUUGGUUUGUGGUACCAAAGAAAUAUUGAAGUAUUCUGGAUU
rnacentral:tRNA from 1 species